rnacentral:rRNA from 1 species
UACGUAGGGGGCGAGCGUUGUCCGAAGUUACUGGGCGUAAAGCGCGCGUAGGCGGGGGGUUAAGUGAGAGGUGAAAGGCUGGGGCUCAACCUCAGUAGUGCCUCUCAUACUGGCCUUCUUGAGGGCGGUAGGGAGAAGUGGAAUGGCUGGUGUAGCGGUGAAAUGCGUAGAUAUCAGUCGGAACACCGGUGGCGAAGGCGGCUCUUGGGCCGUUCCUGACGCUGAUGCGCGAAAGCUGGGGGAGCGAACGGGG